rnacentral:rRNA from 1 species
UUAAAUUGAAGAGUUUGAUCAUGGCUCAGAUUGAACGCUGGCGGCAGGCCUAACACAUGCAAGUCGAACGGUAACAGGAAGCAGCUUGCUGCUUCGCUGACGAGUGGCGGACGGGUGAGUAAUGUCUGGGAAACUGCCUGAUGGAGGGGGAUAACUACUGGAAACGGUGGCUAAUACCGCAUAACGUCGCAAGACCAAAGAGGGGGACCUUCGGGCCUCUUGCCAUCAGAUGUGCCCAGAUGGGAUUAGCUGGUUGGUGAGGUAACGGCUCACCAAGGCGACGAUCCCUAGCUGGUCUGAGAGGAUGACCAGCCACACUGGAACUGAGACACGGUCCAGACUCCUACGGGAGGCAGCAGUGGGGAAUAUUGCACAAUGGGCGCAAGCCUGAUGCAGCCAUGCCGCGUGUAUGAAGAAGGCCUUCGGGUUGUAAAGUACUUUCAGCGGGGAGGAAGGUGUUGUGGUUAAUAAC